rnacentral:lncRNA from 1 species
GGUGUUGAGUAGGGAAUGGGGGGCGAGGUACACUGGCGCUCGGCAGGUUAGGCGGGAGGCUUGAGGCUCUGGGCUGGAGGUCAAGGAUGCAUUCCAAGAAAGCUCUAAAGAUAUAUCACCAGCUCCAACCGUAUAGUUGACCUAGCCAUGGAAAACCUCAUUGGAACCUUACUAGAUCAAAGCAUAAUUUGCCAUCUUAAAAAAUAUGCUUCCCAUCAGAAAGUAUCAGGAAUAAAAAUCUGAGAUAUAUACCCACCACUUCAAGGAAGUUCCAGUGUCAGCCAGCAGUUUAGCAGAUCAGCUAGUUUUUUUGAUCAUCAAGCAGACGUAGUCAAGCUACCAACACAACAGAAGAAAAUGUCUCUGUAU